CAUACCUGAAACACUGGUUCACAUAUGAUCACCAAAGUUAAGCAACAUUGAACCUGGUCAGUACCUAGAUGGGUGACCGUUUGGGAAGCUUUGA